AUUUGAGUUAAUAUUCCACAAUCUCAGGGGAAUACCGAUGACAUAGCGAAAGAACAUUCAAAGUUGCAUACUAAUCUGUGAUCUUUUUGAACAGGUUGUAGUGCAAAGAGUUCAUCAUUCCCUGGUGCCAUGCACAUAAUUGCUCAUAAAGAUGCACGACGCAUCGCCUCAUUGAAAGAUGCCGGUUAGAUGUUCAAUGGAUGCAAGACUUGUGAAUCUGCUAUCAUAU